GGAGCUAACGCGUUAAGUCGACCGCCUGGGGAGUACGGCCGCAAGGUUAAAACUCAAAUGAAUUGACGGGGGCCCGCACAAGCGGUGGAGCAUGUGGUUUAAUUCGAUGCAACGCGAAGAACCUACCUACUCUUGACAUCCAGAGAACUUUCCAGAGAUGGAUUGGUGCCUUCGGGAACUCUGAGACAGGUGCUGCAUGGCUGUCGUCAGCUCGUGUUGUGAAAUGUUGGGUUAAGUCCCGCAACGAGCGCAACCCUUAUCCUUUGUUGCCAGCGGUUAGGCCGGGAACUCAAAGGAGACUGCCAGUGAUAAACUGGAGGAAGGUGGGGAUGACGUCAAGUCAUCAUGGCCCUUACGAGUAGGGCUACACACGUGCUACAAUGGCGCAUACAAAGAGAAGCGACCUCGCGAGAGCAAGCGGACCUCAUAAAGUGCGUCGUAGUCCGGAUUGGAGUCUGCAACUCGACUCCAUGAAGUCGGAAUCGCUAGUAAUCGUAGAUCAGAAUGCUACGGUGAAUACGUUCCCGGGCCUUGUACACACCGCCCGUCACACCAUGGGAGUGGGUUGCAAAAGAAGUAGGUAGCUUAACCUUCGGGAGGGCGCUUACCACUUUGUGAUUCAUGACUGGGGUGAAGUCGUAACAAGGUAACCAAGGGCGAAUUCCAG
rnacentral:rRNA from 1 species